rnacentral:rRNA from 1 species
UACGGAGGAUGCAAGCGUUAUCCGGAAUGAUUGGGCGUAAAGCGUCCGCAGGUGGCGAUGUAAGUCUGCUGUUAAAGAGUGAGGCUCAACCUCAUAAGAGCAGUGGAAACUACAUAGCUAGAGUGCGGUAGGGGCAGAGGGAAUUCCUGGUGUAGCGGUGAAAUGCGUAGAGAUCAGGAAGAACACCGGUGGCGAAAGCGCUCUGCUAGGCCGCAACUGACACUGAGGGACGAAAGCUAGGGGAGCAAAUGGG